CUAGCUGUAAACGAUGUGAACUUGGCGUUGGUGGGUUUAAAUCCAUCAGUGCCGAAGCUAACGCGAUAAGUUCACCGCCUGGGGACUACGGCCGCAAGGUUAAAACUCAAAGGAAUUGAC
rnacentral:rRNA from 1 species